rnacentral:rRNA from 1 species
UGCUUGGUGUUUCUAGCAUAGUGGAACCACACUGAUUCCAUCCCGAACUCAGAUGUGAAACGCUAUAGCGGCGACGAUACCUGUGGGGUAGCCUACCGGGAAAAUAGCUCAAUGCCAAGC